GCUUGUCUCAAAGAUUAAGCCAUGCAUGUCUAAGUAUAAAUGCUAUACAAUGAAACUGCGAAUGGCUCAUUAAAACAGUUAUAGUUUAUUUGGUAAUCGAAUUUACAUGGAUAACCGUGGUAAUUCUAGAGCUAAUACAUGCUGCUAAGCCUGACUUUUUGAAGGGCUGUAUUUAUUAGAUAACAGACCAAUAUUCCUCGUGUCUAUUGUGGUGACUCAUAGUAACUGAUCGGAUCGCAUGGGCGUGCCCGCGACAAACCAUUCAAGUUUCUGCCCCAUCAGCUUUCGAUGGUAGUGUAUUGGACUACCAUGGCAGUAACGGGUAACGAAGAAUUAGGGUUCGAUUUCGGAGAGGGAGCAUGAGAAACGGCUACCACAUCUAAGGAAGGCAGCAGG
rnacentral:rRNA from 1 species